AUUGAGCGCUGGCGGCAUGCCUUACACAUGCAAGUCGAACGGUAACAGGUCUUCGGAUGCUGACGAGUGGCGAACGGGUGAGUAAUACAUCGGAACGUGCCUAGUAGUGGGGGAUAACUACUCGAAAGAGUGGCUAAUACCGCAUGAGAUCUACGGAUGAAAGCAGGGGAUCGCAAGACCUUGUGCUACUAGAGCGGCCGAUGGCAGAUUAGGUAGUUGGUGGGGUAAAAGCUUACCAAGCCGACGAUCUGUAGCUGGUCUGAGAGGACGAUCAGCCACACGGGGACUGAGACACGGCCCAGACUCCUACGGGAGGCAGCAGUGGGGAAUUUUGGACAAUGGGCGAAAGCCUGAUCCAGCAAUGCCGCGUGCAGGAUGAAGGCCUUCGGGUUGUAAACUGCUUUUGUACGGAACGAAAAGCCCUGGGUUAAUACCCUGGGGUCAUGACGGUACCGUAAGAAUAAGCACCGGCUAACUACGUGCCAGCCGCCGCGGUAAGAC
rnacentral:rRNA from 1 species